rnacentral:lncRNA from 1 species
UAUCAUAGUAGAAUAAAUAACCACAUUAGAGUUUUGGGUUUUCAAGAGAUUAAUUUCUAUGUUAAGAAUUUUGUUUGUUUUGACGCAGGAGUGAACAUGGGGAGAGUCGGGGAGACAAAGAGAGAAGAGAGGAAGACUCACUUCAUGUUUGCCUUUUACUAUAUCUUUAUACUUUCAACCAAAUGAAAUUGUUAUUAGAUUUUGUAAGGCUACAUGUUAAUUCUCUAUGUAACUUGCUAUUUUUUCCAAUAUGUUUGUUGCUAAUAAUCUAUUGUAACCACUCUUUUUGCCAUUUUCCAAUAAGUCAUUCUCUCUAAUUUCUAUAUAAUUUUUUUCACAUUUGCACAAGUUCAGUUGUCUUUUUUAUUAUACAAUGUAGUUCAUUGGUUUAUCAUUUAAUAAGUGCAACCGUACGUGCAGCUUUGAAUUUUGACGAUAUAAUUAAUCUUAUAAUUUUAAUUUUGACAUGUGAGUUUAGCUUACUGAUUAACGUUGUUUCAGAAUUCAUGGUGUGUUAAUUUGAUGAAGUUGCUUCUUAUUGUUUUGGUUAUCAUAUACUGGAAUUUGAAAUGUCAAUUGAUUCAAAGUUUGCUCUUUUUUUACAAAAUAAAGAAAGGUUUUUUUUUUUUUUUUUUUUUUUUUGUGGGGUUAGUUGCCCACAAAUUCUCUUUAGGCCAAAGAAUAGAGCUAGAAGAAUUGAGGUUUGCUUUCGUUUGGUUUCCUCUAUUGGGUGCAAACACGUUGCUAAUAUACUUGAAUUUGCUAAUAUACUUGAAUUGAUUUUAAAGAUGGUAUCUUUUCUGGGUUGUUUUACAAAAGAAUUUCCCUUCCUUUUGAUUCAGAUUUUGAUGUCCUUUACUUCAAGCAAGUUAAAAUAAGGAAUUUAACUUUGCAAUACAAUCUUUCAUACAAUUUUCAAUCCGGCAGCAACGUGUGGGUACAAAUUUCUAGUUUCUUCUAUAAGUUAAGUUUCACAGAGUGUGAACUAUAGAACACCGGUUCAGAGCAAUUUUAACUUGGCAUCUAAGUAAUGAUUGUGGAGCCAAAAAUAAUCAAGAAAAUUAUGGAGGCAACGUGUGGACUUUUGGGUGAAAAGACAAAAUUACCCUUGAGGCAUAUCAGGAUUCCCACGCGCAUACAACAGAUAAUAACGGUUCAAUCAAGGUCAAAGGUGAUCAAAAUGGUAUUUAUUCAAUCUCAUCACUCCUCAUCAAAUCCUCACCCACAAGGUAACUCCCAAUUAUUCUUUUCAAAUUGGGAUUAAUUACCAAAAUUAAUUGAUUAAUUACCAAGUUACCAAAUAUCUUGCAAUUAGAGCUAAAAAUCAACCAUAAGUGGCUGGUCCCCAUUUCUCCAAAUAGGGUCGGUCACACCCUAUAUAUAGCCCCACAUUUCUCAAAAAACCUAAGUUCAUUCUCUCCAUAAAAUUCUCUAAACACUUUUUCUCUCAAAUUCUAACUUCGACAUCGGAGAUUCUUUGGCCAAAGCCCCCUCUCAUUCAUCGUGGGCAUGUGAAUCUCUUGGCCUUGAUCUUAGGUGUUAUUAUUUUGCAGGUGCAUUUUCGUCAAAGGAGAAUAAGGCAGAAAUUUGCAUCCACAAAUUGGUGCUUUCAUUGAAAGUCUUGAUUCACACGCUCGAAGAAGACUCUCGCAUUCAAAGUUUCUCAUUUCUUGUUCAUUCAUAGAUUUUUCUUACGUUCUUUUUCCUAG